rnacentral:rRNA from 1 species
CAGUAGCCGCGGUAAUACGUAUGUCACAAGCGUUAUCCGGAUUUAUUGGGCGUAAAGCGCGCCUAGGUGGUUAUGUAAGUCUGAUGUGAAAAUGCAGGGCUCAACUCUGUAUUGCGUUGGAAACUGCAUGACUAGAGUACUGGAGAGGUAAGCGGAACUACAAGUGUAGAGGUGAAAUUCGUAGAUAUUUGUAGGAAUGCCGAUGGGGAAGCCAGCUUACUGGACAGAUACUGACGCUAAAGCGCGAAAGCGUGGGGAGCAAACAGGAUUAGAUACCCCUGUAGUCCCUGUCUCUUAUACA